rnacentral:rRNA from 1 species
UACAGAGGGUGCAAGCGUUGUUCGGAAUUAUUGGGCGUAAAGCGCGUGUAGGCGGCUUCGCAAGUCGGUUGUGAAAUCCCUCGGCUUAACCGGGGAACUGCAUCUGAUACUGGAUGGCUUGAGAUUGGGAGAGGGAUGCGGAAUUCCAGGUGUAGCGGUGAAAUGCGUAGAUAUCUGGAGGAACACCGGUGGCGAAGGCGGCAUCCUGGACCAACACUGACGCUGAGGAGCGAAAGCCAGGGGAGCAAACGGG